GGAUAGGCGAAGCGUGCUGUUGGAGUGCACGUCCAAGCAGUAAGGCUGAGUGUUAGGCAAAUCCGGCACUCAUAAGGCUGAGCUGUGAUGGGGAGAGGAAAUUGUUUCCUCGAGUCGUUGAUUUCACACUGCCGAGAAAAGCCUCUAGAUAGAUAACAGGUGCCCGUACCGCAAACCGACACAGGUAGUCAAGAUGAGAAUUCUAAGGUGAGCGAGCGAACUCUCGUUAAGGAACUCGGCAAAAUGACCCCGUAACUUCGGGAGAAGGGGUGCUCUUUAGGGUUCACGCCCAGAAGAGCCGCAGUGAAUAGGCCCAAGCGACUGUUUAUCAAAAACACAGGUCUCUGCUAAACCGUAAGGUGAUGUAUAGGGGCUGACGCCUGCCCGGUGCUGGAAGGUUAAGAGGAGUGGUUAGCUUCUGCGAAGCUACGAAUCGAAGCCCCAGUAAACGGCGGCCGUAACUAUAACGGUCCUAAGGUAGCGAAAUUCCUUGUCGGGUAAGUUCCGACCCGCACGAAAGGCGUAACGAUUUGGGCACUGUCUCAACGAGAGACUCGGUGAAAUCAUAGUACCUGUGAAGAUGCAGGUUACCCGCGACAGGACGGAAAGACCCCGUGGAGCUUUACUGUAGCCUGAUAUUGAAAUUCGGCACAGCUUGUACAGGAUAGGUAGGAGCCUUUGAAACGUGAGCGCUAGCUUACGUGGAGGCGUUGGUGGGAUACUACCCUAGCUGUGUUGGCUUUCUAACCCGCACCACUUAUCGUGGUGGGAGACAGUGUCAGGCGGGCAGUUUGACUGGGGCGGUCGCCUCCUAAAAGGUAACGGAGGCGCUCAAAGGUUCCCUCAGAAUGGUUGGAAAUCAUUCAUAGAGUGUAAAGGCAUAAGGGAGCUUGACUGCGAGACCUACAAGUCGAGCAGGGUCGAAAGACGGACUUAGUGAUCCGGUGGUUCCGCAUGGAAGGGCCAUCGCUCAACGGAUAAAAGCUACCCCGGGGAUAACAGGCUUAUCUCCCCCAAGAGUUCACAUCGACGGGGAGGUUUGGCACCUCGAUGUCGGCUCAUCGCAUCCUGGGGCUGUAGUCGGUCCCAAGGGUUGGGCUGUUCGCCCAUUAAAGCGGUACGCGAGCUGGGUUCAGAACGUCGUGAGACAGUUCGGUCCCUAUCCGUCGUGGGCGUAGGAAAUUUGAGAGGAGCUGUCCUUAGUACGAGAGGACCGGGAUGGACAUACCUCUGGUGUACCAGUUGUCGUGCCAACGGCAUAGCUGGGUAGCUAUGUAUGGACGGGAUAAGUGCUGAAAGCAUCUAAGCAUGAAGCCCCCCUCAAGAUGAGAUUUCCCAACUUCGGUUAUAAGAUCCCUCGAAGAUGACGAGGUUAAUAGGUUCGAGGUGGAAGCGUGGUGACACGUGGAGCUGACGAAUACUAAUCGAUCGAAGACUUAAUC
rnacentral:rRNA from 1 species